rnacentral:rRNA from 1 species
CAUAUCAAUAAGCGGAGGAAAAGAAACCAACAGGGAUUGCCUCAGUAACGGCGAGUGAAGCGGCAACAGCUCAAAUUUGAAAUCUGGUCCUUUCAGGGCCCGAGUUGUAAUUUGUAGAAGAUGCUUCGGGCGUGGCUCCGGUCUAAGUUCCCUGGAACGGGACGUCAUAGAGGGUGAGAAUCCCGUAUGUGACUGGCUGCCUCCGCCCAUGUGAAGCUCUUUCGACGAGUCGAGUUGUUUGGGAAUGCAGCUCAAAAUGGGUGGUAAAUUUCAUCUAAAGCUAAAUAUUGGCCAGAGACCGAUAGCGCACAAGUAGAGUGAUCGAAAGAUGAAAAGCACUUUGGAAAGAGAGUUAAACAGUACGUGAAAUUGUUGAAAGGGAAGCGCUUGCAAUCAGACUUGCGCGCGGUCGAUCAUCCGGGGUUCUCCCCGGUGCACUCGGCCGCGCUCAGGCCAGCAUCGGUUUCGGUGGUGGGAUAAAGGCCUUGGGAAUGUGGCUCCUCUCGGGGAGUGUUAUAGCCCUCGGUGCAAUGCCGCCUACCGGGACCGAGGACCGCGCUUCGGCUAGGAUGCUGGCGUAAUGGUUGCAAGCGACCCGUCUUGAAACACGGACCAAGGAGUUGAAGACUGCCGCGAGUGUUUGGGUGUCAAACCCAUACGCGUAAUGAAAGUGAACGGAGGUGAGAACCCUUAAGGGUGCAUCAUCGACCGAUCCUGAAGUCUUCGGAUGGAUUUGAGUAAGAGCGGUAUUCUUCUGACCCGAAAGAUGGUGAACUAUGCCUGAAUAGGGUGAAGCCAGAGGAAACUCUGGUGGAGGCUCGCAGCGGUUCUGACGUGCAAAUCGAUCGUCAAAUUUGGGUAUAGGGGCGAAAGACUAAUCGAACCAUCUAGUAGCUGG